rnacentral:rRNA from 1 species
UACGAAGGGGGCUAGCGUUGCUCGGAAUCAUUGGGCGUAAAGGGUGCGUAGGUGGUGAUGCAAGUCUGGUGUGAAAUCUCGGAGCUCAACUCCGAAAUUGCACCGGAUACUGCGUGACUCGAGGACUGUAGAGGAGAUCGGAAUUCACGGUGUAGCAGUGAAAUGCGUAGAUAUCGUGAGGAACACCGGUGGCGAAGGCGGUUCUCUGGGCCUUACCUGACGCUGAGGAGCGAAAGCGUGGGGAGCGAACAGG